rnacentral:rRNA from 1 species
UAAGGAUUAAUAACAAAAAAAUAGGAUGGUCCGUAUAAAAAAAAGAUAGUUACAAUUAAUCCUAUAAUCCAAUCAAUUAGUUUUCUGUAUUUACUCAUUUUUAAAUCACUCCAUUCGAAUUAAUAACAAAAUUAAAUUGCUUACGUAAAUUAAAAAUAACAUUGUUAAUCAGCUUAAGAACAAUUAUACAAGAACAGUAGACAGAUAAAAUAAAAUUGGAUUAAUAUAGAUUUAUUUUGGAGUGAGAUUUAUAAUUUUAAAUAUAUAACUAAAUGUUUUUUUAGCAUUUUAGGGAAAUCUUAAGGGGGGAUACUUAUAAAUAACUAUAAAUUUAAAUUUGAUACUAAGCAAAAAAUAAUAGAAAUUAUAAACUUAUCAUUAUUAAUUUUUAUGAUAGCAUAUUUAAUUAUUAACUGGAAUAAUAUAGGUGAUAAUGUAGCAUCCCAUUAUAAUUCAGUUGGUCAGAUUGAUUCGUGGGGAAGUAAGAGUAGUUUAAUAGUACUCCCUAUAAUUACAAUGAUAGUAAAUGCAUCUAUGAGUGGGGUAUUAUUUUUCCCACAAGCGCUAGAUAUACCUAUAAAACUCACUGAAGAAAAUUAUGUUAAAGUUUAUGAGUUAACGAGAGAUUUGAUGAAUUUUACUAAGAUAGCAAUUAAUAUUUCAUUUUUAUAUAUGACUAUUAUGUCAGCAAAUUGUAAGCCUUUAGGCACUUGGUUUUUAGCAAUUUUUUUGACCGUAAUAUUUAUGCCAAUAUUUAUAUAUUAUAUAAAAAUAAGAAAAUUAUAGAAAAAAUACUUUAACAUUUUAUGGUAUAAUAAAAAUCAGGAAUUGAAAUCUAUAGAGUGGUGUUCCAUUAAACUUUCUAGCCUACUUCUUAAUUGGAAGGAGGUGAGAAGUAUGGAACUAAAGAUAAUUGUUAGUGCUAUAAGCACUGUAUGUAUUGGUCUUUUGACUAAUUACAUAUAUGACAAAUUAAAAAACCACUCUAGUCGCCCAACUAAGAGUGGUAUAGAACUUGAUAUAAAAAUCAAAUUCAAGCAUUUCAAAUAAAUUAAUUUGGAAUAUCACUCUACUGCGAAUAGACUUCAAUUCCUUUUUUAUAUUUAUAUUAUAUCACAAUUCAACAUCUUUUAAACUUAAUUUUUAAAAUAGAUAAUCAGGAUUUAAAGAUCUUUAUAAUUUAUAACUUUUUCCUCUCCAGAUAUCAUAUUUUUAAUCUUUAUUUCAUUAUUAUCAACUUCAUUUUCCCCAAUAAAUAUUACAUUAUUUAUAUUUAAUUUAUUUGCGUAAUUUAAUUUUUUCUUUAAACUAUCAUCUUCAAAAUAAAUACUUACGUUGUAUCCUUUUUCAUUUAAGUCUGACAUAACCUUUCCGCUAUAUUCAAGUGUAUUACCUAUUGGUAUUAUUAAAUAAUCAGAACUAGACUUUAUAUUAUAUCUAUCUAUGAAUCCAAUUUCUUUUAAAACAAAGAAUAAUCUUGUUAAUCCAAUAGAUAUUCCAACUCCAGGUAAUAUAUUAUUUGUAUAAUUCUCGGCUAAAUUAUCAUAUCUACCACCAGAGCAAAUAGAUCCAAACUGUUCAUUGCCUAUAAGGAAUGUUUCAAACACACUUCCUGUGUAAUAAUCUAAUCCUCUGAUUAUCUUUAAAUCAACUUCAAAUUCAUUAUCUUUUACACCUAAAAUUUUCAAUGUAGAUACAACUUUUUUUAAUUCAUCUAAUCCUUCAGAGAAACAUUCAUUUUGGAUGUUUAAAUUCACUAACUUAUCUAGUAGAAUGUCAUUUGACUCAUUAAGAUUUAGUAAGUUAGUUAAGUAAAUACUUUUUUCAUCUCCGAUAAUAUCACGUAAACUUUUAUUAAAAGCGUCUUUACCUAUUUUAUCAUAUUUAUCUAUAAGAGUUACAACCUCUUGAACAUCGUAUAUUUGUAAUUGAGAUAACACUCCUUUUAAAAUUUUUCUAUUACUAAUUUUAAACUUAUAAUCGUUUAAACCAAUAGACUUAAAUGCUUUAGAUGCUAGACUAAUUACCCAUGCAUCAUUGUAGACACUUAGUUUAUCUUUUCCAAUGACAUCUACAUCUAACUGGUAAAACUCUCUGUAUCUACCCCUUUGAUUUCUUUCGCCUCUAUAUACUUUACCUAGCUGAUAUUUUUUGAAAGGAAAUACUAGAUCGUUAUAGUUUUGUGCUACAUAUCUUGCAAAAGGCACUGUUAAAUCAAAUCGUAAAGAUAAAUCAUUUUUUCCUUUUUCAAAUCUAUAUACUUGCUUUUCUGUUUCACCACCACUUUUAGCAAGUAAUACACUUGAUUUUUCUAUUAUAGGUGUAUCAAUGGCUAAACAUCCGUUAUUUUCAUAUAUAUUUGUUAUUUUGUUUACUAUAUCGUUAAAAAUUGAUUGGUCAUUAGGUAAUAACUCCAUGAAUCCUGGUAAAAUACUUGGUUUUAUAUAGUUGUUUUUCAUAUAAUAUCGCUCCUAUUUGAAUAAAUUAUUUUUAAUAUUAAAAAAAGCCAUGUAGGCAUAUAUCCCACAUGGCUUAAUAAAUUAUAAAUACACUUAAUUUAUCAUUCCUAGAGAUACAAGCCUACGCGAACAGACUUGUAUCUGCUUAAACAGACCAAGUCUCUAGAAAUGUUGAUGUAUUAAAUUUAAUCUAAUAAGUGUAUUCAUAAUAAUCCUCCUAAAAAAUAAUUUAUAAAGAUAAUAGUCCAAUAAAUAAGAAAAGUCAAUAGUAAUUUUUAGAAUCUAUUUUCAUUAACAUGCAAACUUUAAAAUUCUAAAACAAAAACUGAGAACAUAACUAUUGUUGAUAGUGCAAAAAAGAUUAAAGAAACUCCAGCUUUCUUUUUCCUAGAUUCAAUUAUUUGUUUAUCUGUAUCACUCAUAUGAGACAAAUACUUCUUUUUUGCCUAUCAAAAUACCUUUACAUAGUAUGUUUUACAAUGUCAAAAUU